rnacentral:lncRNA from 1 species
UCUGCGCCUGUCCUCCAGCUCUAUCAGCUUGACCAAUCUUAGCUUGAGGAGAACAUUUAGAACCAUGGUCGGGAUGCUUCCGGACCAAGGUGCUUGAGACAGCUGGAGGAGGGAAGGGACACAGUUGGAGCUGGAAGGCAGGUGUCUGCCGGGCAACCUGUUCCUGACAGGGUCAGCAAAGCUGUGCUUCCUCCUCUGAUGGGUUUGUAAGCCUGGCAGAGAGAAGAAAGCGAGGAGAAGGAAUGCUGGUUCCUCUGCCAGCCAGCUCUGUUUAUGAAAUUCCUGAUUGUCUCCAGAAACGAGAGGAAAGCUAAGUGCUUGGGGGUUUCUCUGUGUAGCCCCGAUUGUCCUGGAACUCACUCUAUAGACCAUGAACUCAGAGAUCUACCUGCUUCUGUCUCUUGGGAAUAAAGGCUGGCAAUGCUGUCCACACCAUCAACACCUCUACCUCCACCACCACCUGGCCAUUUUCUUAAUAAAAAGAUUUAGGUAGAAUAAACAAUUGCUUGUUGCCCAAGUUCCGCUUCCCAGUUGGUAGCUGUGACUUAAGCACCAUGAUACCAACAGACACCUCUGACCCUGGCUGAGCCCCAGGUUCUGGCUUCCCCACCAAGUUGGACCGAAAUCUCUUGAAACCACCGCAAUCUCUGUCAAGAUGUGUGUGCCCGAGUCUCUCCACUUCCAAAAUGGAAACAGCAAGGAGCUUGGAACCAGCAAAGAAUAAACAUCUUAAGAAGACUGCACAGCUCAGCUUGGAACUGCUGGAGAAAGGCAGCCUUUAAGCCUGUGUGUUUUCUUCUUGACGUUCGGUUUUGUGGCAACAAGGGCCACCUUUCUCCUCUCUGGUGUGGUAGAUCUUCAAGGACAAAGAAGGCUUAACUCAAAGUGACUUCAACAAUGAGAAAAAGCUUCCUAUUCCCCACACGAGAUUAUGCCUCUUCCUUGUGUCGACUUCGCUUUCCAUCUGUGAACUGGGAAAGGUGACCAGUAGGCUGCAUGCUCUAAAGAUGCUAAAGAUGUAGCACAUGCCCAGCCCCCAUGGUCCCAGCCUGUCACCAGGCCAUUCUGCUGCUACCAGAAACUUGCUGUUUAGGACUUCCAUCUGCAGGCAAGUGGGGCCAUGGGAUCUGCUAACAUGCAGAAGGAAGAUAGCAGCUCUUUGUGAACUCUCGGGCCUGCUGCACAAUAAGCCAGAACAACACAGAGACAAGAUGCUUUGGAACGUCUGGGAGUCUCUGCUGUCUUAUUACAUACAAGGACCCUGGCAUUUCCUGCUAAUUCAAAGGAAGAGAAGAAAAUUAGUGCCUGUUCUGGUGAAACUGGAGCCAAAAAUGGAUUUUUUUUGGAUCACACAUCUCCUGUCUCCUGCUGCCGGUGAUGAAGCUGCCAGCCCCACGCCAGUGGGCGGAAAUAGAUACCAGCCCUGGAGGAAGUACUGACUGCUUAUGGGCGCCUGCCACCCUCCCUGCUUCCUCCUCUUCGUGUGGAAGGAAACCGUGGGCUUUCCUGGGCAUUUUUUCUUAUUCUCUUAAUACAGGGGAACUGAAGCAUUUGGCUUUGGUUGUUUGGAUAGUGAAUCUCAGCUUGGAGGGCUUUCCAGAAAGCAGGCGGCUCCGGUCUCUGAACUCUAACUCCGUUUCUCCACCCCCCUUCCGGUGCUGUGCAGUUCUUUCCAAUUCCUGAAUUGACAUGUACAGUACUAGAAAACCUGCAGAGAGCGCCUGGAGGUCACAGCCUGCAUGAGCUUUCAAGCUGGAGAGGGCUAAGUGGAAGGAAGACACUGCACCCCUGGGAUUUCCUCCUGCAAAUGAGAUGAAAUCUAUAUAAAUGUACUCUUUCCCGUCUCAUACCUUUUAUUCGAUUUGCAUACCACGGAUCCGAUGACAACUCUCUUGAAAAGUGCUCCUUUGACUGUUUCAGCCACAGCGGUUCAUGCAAAGAAACUAAAUCUUGGAAAGGAAGGGGCUAACCCCUCCCCAUGCUUGUGCUCAGGAACCACAUGAUGACCAUGACAGACCAUGACCAGGACAUCGGUGGGUGCAAAAAGAAGAAACAAGAGCACAGGGAGGAAGGAAGAGCUGGGUGGCAUGGGGUGGGGUGGGGUGGGGGGAGGAUUGCAACUAGGCAUGAUCUUGCUUCAGGGCAUGGAGCCCAGAAAGCCCAAGACCAGAGGGCUAUGCCUAGAGCGAAGCAUAUUUUUCAGCAGUGCUCCCCCCAUUUGGGGGACAUAUUCUAGGAUGGAAGUAGAAAGAUUGUAAUGGAAUGUGGCACGUGAGCUCAUUUGUGAAAAACAAAACAAAAUAAAACAAAAAACCAAAAC